GUAUAGGCGAUAGAAAUUUUUACCCUGGCACAAUAGACAUAGCACCGUAAGGGAAAGAUGAAAGAACUGUAUCAAGCACUAAAAAGCAAAGACAAGCCCUUAUACCUUCUGCAUAAUGUAUUAACUAGAAAUAACUAUACACAGAGAACUUUAGCCAAGUCCCCCGAAACCAGAUGAACUACUCAAGAACAGCUGAAAGAGCACACUCACCUAUGUGGCAAAAUAGUGGGAAGAUGCAUGAGUAGUGGUCACAAGCCUACCAAGCCUGUUGAUAGCUGGUUGUCCAAGAUAGAAUCUUAGUUCAGCUUUAAACUUACCCACAGAAUUACUUAAUCUCCCUGUAAGUUUAACUGUUAGUCUAAAGAGGGACAGCUCUUUAGACCCUAGGAAACAACCUUCCUACAGAGAGUAAAAAAUAUUACCACCAUAGUUGGCCCAAAAGCAGCCACCGAUUAAGAAAGCGUUUAAGCUCAACAGCUAACUAUCUUAAAUUCUAAUCAGUCUACUGAACUCCUAACAUCACAUUGGACUAAUCUAUUACUUAAUAAAAGCAAUAAUGUUAAUGUAAGUAACAUGAAGACAUUCUCCAUUGCAUAAGCUUACAUCAGACCAGAAUAACCCACUGACAGUUAACAGCCUAAUAUUAAUAACCGAUAUAAUAAGCACCCUAUUAUUUACACUGUUAACCCAACACAGGUAUGCUCUAAGGAGAGAUUACAAAAAGUAAAAGGAAUUCAGCAAAUCUUACCCUGCUUGUUUACCAAAAAUAUCACCUCUAGCAUUACCAGCAUUAGAGUCACUGCCUGACCAGUGACAUAUGUUCAACAGCCGCGGUAUCCUGACCAUGCAAAGGUAGCAUAAUCACUUGUUCCCUAAAUAGGGACUUGUAUGAAUGGCCAUAUGAAGGUUCAGCUGUCUCUUACUUUUAAUCAGUGAAAUUGACCUAUUCAUGAAGAGGCGGAUAUAAACAAAUAAGACGAGAAAACCCUAUGGAGCUUUAAUUCAUUAAUGCAAAUAAAAACUCAAACAAGCCUACAGGCCCUAGCCUACUAUCCCUGCAUUAAAAAAUUUGGUAGGGGUGAACUUGGAGCAUAAUUCAACCUCCAAACAACCUAAACUAAGAUCGCACUAGUCUUAGUGAGUUAAUACACAUUGACCCAAUAAUUUGAUCAACGGAAUAAGUUACCUUAGGGAUAGCAGCGCAAUCCCAUUCUAGAAUCCAUAUUGACAAUAGAGUUUACAACCUCGAUGUUGGAUCAGGACAUCCUAACGGUGUAGCCGCUAUUAAGAACAGUGUAGCCGCUAUUAAGGGUUCGUUUAGCAGUAGGGACGGGGGUUCUACAACUAAGUGAGUAACAUCCUACCUGCUAUAUACCUCUUUAAUAUGUGGGUAUAUCCUCUCAACUGUAUCUCUAGCUCCUUGGAGGAAGCAGGUUUGAUAUAAGAGAAAUGAAAAUAUGUAAAUGGAAGAUUAAGGUCUGGUUGAGGUGUAACAAUUUUUAUUCUGUUUUCAGUCCAUAUUC
rnacentral:rRNA from 1 species